rnacentral:rRNA from 1 species
UGGGGAAUAUUGCACAAUGGGCGCAAGCCUGAUGCAGCCAUGCCGCGUGUAUGAAGAAGGCCUUCGGGUUGUAAAGUACUUUCAGCGGGGAGGAAGGGAGAAAAGUUAAUACCUUUGCUCAUUGACGUUACCCGCAGAAGAAGCACCGGCUAACUCCGUGCCAGCAGCCGCGGUAAUACGGAGGGUGCAAGCGUUAAUCGGAAUUACUGGGCGUAAAGCGCACGCAGGCGGUUUGUUAAGUCAGAUGUGAAAUCCUCGGGCUCAACCUGGGAACUGCAUCUGAUACUGGCAAGCUUGAGUCUCGUAGAGGGGGGUAGAAUUCCAGGUGUAGCGGUGAAAUGCGUAGAGAUCUGGAGGAAUACCGGUGGCGAAGGCGGCCCCCUGGACGAAGACUGACGCUCAGGUGCGAAAGCGUGGGGAGCAAACAGG